rnacentral:rRNA from 1 species
GAUGAACGCUGGCGGCGUGCCUAAUACAUGCAAGUCGAGCGAACAGACGAGGAGCUUGCUCCUCUGACGUUAGCGGCGGACGGGUGAGUAACACGUGGAUAACCUACCUAUAAGACUGGGAUAACUUCGGGAAACCGGAGCUAAUACCGGAUAAUAUAUUGAACCGCAUGGUUCAAUAGUGAAAGACGGUUUUGCUGUCACUUAUAGAUGGAUCCGCGCCGCAUUAGCUAGUUGGUAAGGUAACGGCUUACCAAGGCAACGAUGCGUAGCCGACCUGAGAGGGUGAUCGGCCACACUGGAACUGAGACACGGUCCAGACUCCUACGGGAGGCAGCAGUAGGGAAUCUUCCGCAAUGGGCGAAAGCCUGACGGAGCAACGCCGCGUGAGUGAUGAAGGUCUUCGGAUCGUAA